CAACAGUUGAAUAACAAGACCACUGCAAAGCUACAACAUGGCUUUAUUGUUGGACUAGGACUGUAAGAAAGGAGCACUUUAAAUACACUCGGCAGGACUCCAUAUCAUUCGCUCCAGUAAAAGGGACAACAUAUUCCCACUGGCAAGCUGGGGCCUACGUUUCCUCAGACAGUGUUCUUAACAUCUUCCAUUUUAGAAAGUUAAAUGAGAAGAUCUUCUAAAUUCAGCAUUCGUACAGUUACAAUGCUUUAGAAGUACAUCAGUAAGACCAAGAAAUUGAUUGUGGACUUCAGGAAGGGGAAGUCAAGGGAACACCCAUCAAAGCUCGUCGAGGGAUCAACAGUGGAAAAUGUGAGCAGUUUCAAGUUUGAAGUUCUGAGGAUCUAUCCUGGGCCUAACAUUGAUGCAAUUACAAAGAAGGUGAUGAGGGACUGAUAGAAGCUGGAGGAGCCCCAUGGCUCACUGGUUGGUGGAAUUGGACCUGGCACACUGAGGGGUAUUAGGUCAAUUUGGAUGGCAGGGUGGAGAUAUGUCUCUGCCAAAGGAGGUGUAAAACACUCCUUCCCACCGCUGGCCUGCAGGUCAGCACUCUUAUGCAAGGUGUAGACCUGGGUUCAUGUGAAGCCAUGGGAGCAGGUGAUGGACGGUCGUAUGAGCAGCCGGUGCAUAACACAAGUCCUAGUUAUGCAUCCACCAGUAUGCAAACAAUCUCUGAAGAGUAUUGACAAUAUCUGGGGUCACGUGUCUUGUAAAGACACCGUCUAGUAGAAGGCAAUAGCACACUACAUCUAUAGAAAAAUUUACUAAGAACAACCAUGGUCACAGGACCAUGAUCACCUACAACAUAUCGACAUGGCACAUAAUGAUGAUAAUGACUGGGUAGCAUUAUGUCUGCCUUCAGGCCAACUCUGGUCAUCCUCCUUCAUUUUUUCACAUUGCUCAUAUCGAUUAAAUCUUCUAUAUAUUCACUGAUGAAUUACAUGACAGAAGGGGUUUGUUAUAUUAAUACAGUCCUCAUGUAUCACAGCAUAUCUUGUCUUAUCCUCUCUUGGAUAGCUGAUGUCCUCUUCAUGGUGCAUUGUUUAAAAAAUAUUCUUAUGUGCACUUUACCUCAUACCAAAUGCAUUUCAUUUUCCAAUUGAUCAUGUUGUCAUUUACAAUAUUUGCAAUAUCUAAGCCAGCUUGACUAUACUUCCCUGUUUUGUCUUUUGCUCAGCACAUGUACAUCUGUUGUUGGCUAGUCAACAUUUCCAGCUUUGGUUUGGAUAGCUUUGUAGCUUUGUAAGUCUCUGCACGCUUUUCAUAUAGGACCUCUUACUUUGGGCUGGAUUCCUGAUUUCUACACUUUGCUUGAUCUCUGAUGGGUGAGUCCUUUAAAUCUGUGAAAUUAUCUAGCAGCAAUUAGGAAACCAUCAAAGACUUCUCCCUGCUUCUGGUUGCGUGUAAAGAACCACAGAAGCAUUUUUUUCUCAUUUCUAGCCAAGUUGCAAAAUGCUUGUAAUACAUUCUCUAGGGUCUCAUUUAAGGGCUUUAUACUGCAGCACUAACCUCUUCCCCUGUGACCAAUGAGAUACAAUCAUGUUUUUUUUCUUUCAUCUGAUUAGGUUUAGGUGCCAAAACAACUCAAUACACAAAAUAUAUUCUUCCUUCAAUGGCUUUAUCUUUUAAACAAGGUGCUUGCUUGGAAAACUAGUGGUUGUGUAUCCUUAAUUGUUUGACCUACCAUCUUCUGUCUUGAAUCGCCCCGAUUGUAAAAGUCCACAUCUCAUUUUAACUGAAGAAUUACAACAGGAUUUAGAAUUCUAAUAACUGCUAGCUUAAAAUUUCAGAGCUUCAUCAACCAACAUCAUUAUUCAGUAUCUUUCUGUGUACUACUGUGUUUUGCACCCUGGUUCGAAAAAACGAUGUCCUGUUUCUGUAUACGUUGUAUGGUUAUAUACAUUAUAUACGUAUAUAGUUAAAUAACAAUAAAUUCGACUUCUCAAAGAUACUGGAAAAUAGCAAUUCAAAUUGAUAACAAGUAUAUUUUUGUAAAUUAUAGCACUAGACAACAUCACUUAAUCUGCUUUUUUUAUUUUUGGAGUGGCAGACAAACUCUGAGAUGUUUCAUACAUUAAAUGAUGUCGCAACAACUGUUUAUUGCAUGAUAUAAUCCUUAAAUUGGUAAAACCUUAAAACUGCAAUGAGCUACCAUACAAAGGCCACAACAUCCAGGACAUAUGUUUAUGUCGCAAAAAUGAAUUAAAGAAUCGUGCUGCCGAGGAACAGGCCCUUCCGGCCCAUCCAGUGUUGUCUAUCUACACUAAUCCCCUUUGGCUUCAUAGGCCUGUGUACCUUUCAUAGCCAAGUACCAGUCCAAAUGUCCCUUAAAUGUCAAAUGCCUUUAGCAGCUUGUUCCAGAUAACGACCAUCCUCUGUUUGAAAAACAUACCCAGGAUUUCCUUUAAAUUUUUCCCCACUUACUGUAAAAUAGAACCCUGUAGUUUCAAACUCUUAUGGUCUGGGAGAAAGACUCUAUCUAUCCUACCUAUGUCCCGUAUAAUUUUAUGAAUUUCCAAAGGUCACCCCUUCAGCCUCCUAUGUUCCAGUGCUAAUAACCCCAAAUUAUCCAAUCUUUCUUUCUAACUACAGCAUACAAUAUCUUGGUGAAUCUCUUCAGCAUUAUCUACCAGACUUUUAAUUGCUUUUAAUUACCUCAUGCUUGUCAGGAUUAAGUUCCAUCUGCCACUACUCUGCCCAAAUUUCUUGCUGUACCUUUUGACCACUUUCUUUUCUUUCUACAGCUUUGCCAAUUUCUGUGUCAUCAACAAACUUAUCCCCUACAUUCUCAUCCAAUAUAUCUUGAAAGCAACAAAGUUUCCAGACUUUUACCUUGUCCUUGACAAUUUUGUAAACGUUGACACCCUUUGAAUUCCAGAUAGAUGACAUCUGACUGUACGGAAGAACCAAAACCAAACUACUUCUGAGGUACUACACUCUAGUAAAAAAAAGUUGGAAAAUCACAACGUCAGUGAAUAUCUGUGAGUUUUGAUGAAAGAUCAUUGCUCUACAAUGUUAACUCUGGUAAAUCUCCAAACAUGCUACCUGAAUUACAUUUCCUGUUUCUAGCUCACUUGGUAUGAAUUUCACAUUAUGGUGUUUUACUGAUGUGGGUGCCUCUUCUAAAAUGUGAAGAUUGUCUUUCUUGGCCAUAGUGGCAAUGAAACCCCAUUCUAGUUACAUAUGAAAUAAUCUUUCUUGGGGGAUCUUUCCCAUUACUGAUUAAUUUGGAAAAAAGCAUAACCACAUUUCUCCAUUUGACAUCGUUUACUCUUGUUCAGGAGACAAAAUAUGGGUGCUCCUCGACACUUCACCUGUGAAUCGGCUGGUGUGGUAUACUGCAUCCAGUGCUCCCAGUGUGGCCUUUUAUAUAUUGGUGAGACCCGACGCAGACUGGGAAACCGUUUCGCUGAACACCUAUGCUCGGUCCACCAGAGAAAGCAGGAUCUCCCAGUGGCCACACAUUUUAAUUCUGCGUCCUAUUCCCAUUCUGCUAUGUUUAUCCAUGGCGUCCUCUACUGUUGAGAUGAAGCCACACUCAGGUUGGAGGAACAACACCUUAUAUACCGGCUGGGUGGCCUCCAACCUGAUGACAUGAACAUUGACUUCUCUAACUUCCGUUAAUGCCCCUCCCCUUCUUACCCCAUCCCUGAUAUAUUUAGUUUUUUUUGUUCUCUCUCUGCCCAUCACUUUGCCUGUUCUCCAUCUCCCUCUGGUGCUCCCCUCCCCCUUUCUUUCCCCCUAGGCCUCCUGUCAAAUGAUCCUUUCCCUUCUCUAGCUCUGUAUCACUUUUGCCAAUCACCCCUCAGCUUCACCACCCCCCCCCCCCCGGUCUUCUCCUAUCAUUUUGCAUUUUCUCCUCCACCUCCUACUUUCAAAUCUCUUACUAUCUUUCCUUUCAGUUAGUCCUGACGAAGGGUCUUGGCCCGAAAAGUUGACAGUGCUUCUCCCUAUAGAUGCUGCCUGGCCUGCUGUGUUCUACCAGCAUUUUGUGAGUGUUGCCCUUCAAAUGUCAUUUUAGACGCUGCGUGUGGUGCCUUAUUGGAACAAGUAGAAAACACUUUUGCUUAGCAUAAAAGCAGUGAAUAUUUUUUCUAAUUACUCCACUGAUUGCAAAAGACACUGGGAUAGUUUGAAGUUAUAAACAUGUAUCUUGGUAUAUAACUUGUCAGCAGAUGAAUGGGUUACUUUUUAAUCUUCCUCAGCCUUAGAAUCUGCCAUCUGUGCAGAGGCAACCCCAUCAUUUCACCUAGACAAUCUAUUGACAUCUCAGCUGCACUUAUACACAACAAGAACACACAGUCAGGGGAAUCAUAUAUCAGCGGUGCUAAUACAUCACACUCAAGCGUACCAAUAGGGAAUAAUGUUAAAAAUAGGAAAGGAUGCAACAGAAUAAAUAAAUCGUAACAGUUGUACACAACUUUGAUGGAGAUACAUCUACAAUUAACUCCAUUGACAAGGAUCAGGGAGGGGGUAAUGGAGAGUAACAUUUCUCCAUGCAGAAGCUACUGCAAUGAAAAGGCAAUUAGGAUAAAGCAAGAAUUUGGAAUAAGAACAUGUUAAUUAGGAAUGCAUGAUUGAGGGAGGUUUAAUUUUACCUCUUGGGCAGUAAACUGGUAGCUUACCUACCCAAUUAUCUAUUCCCCAGUCAUGCUUGGUAAUGAGUGCUGAUUAGACAAUUGCAGGUAUGCAGAUGUCAGUUUUCCAUGCUGGAAAACCAAGGGUCAUACACUAGCAUUACUUUACACUCAAAUAUUCCUGGGAUUGAACUGGGUUCACUACGAGCAAAUAUUUGGACAUUUGAAUGGAGGAUUACAACUUCGUUUAGCAGGUCCACCUGAAAUGCUGAAAUAUAAACUUUAUUUUAUGCGUUCAUUAUGCCUCAUGACCAUUCUUCAUGUUUGAUUUAGAUAUUUAGCAAUUUGACUACGGGGAUGAUUUAUGUGAAUGCACGUGCAGCAGAAGUAAUUGGAAUGCAAUCAAAGAACACUGGUCCUCUCUCACCAAGCAACAUGUUAGACUCCAUCCUUGUUUCAGCCUAAGGAGAUUUGUUCACUGAAAAUGGGGAUAAUACUUGGGAUGUUGACUAGAUGGUUUGAUGUUUUAUACUCUGUCUUUUUUCACUCUUUUUUGCCAUUUGCACAAUUUGUUCUUUUUUUGUGUGUUUUUGAUGUUUUUUUAAAUGGGUUCCAUGAUUUUCUUUCUUUUGUGGCUGUCUGCAGGAAGAAGAAUCUCACAGUUGUAUACUGCAUAUGUACUUUGUUAAUAAAUAUACUUUGAAUAUUUGAAUGUUCCUAAUUUCUAUAAUUACAAGGCUUGGGCCGAGUAAUAUCCGCCCAAAAAUUGAAAAAGAACUGCCGUGCAACAGAAAACCAAUUGGCGCUGAACAACAUUACAUCCAUUUCUGUGAACUUGACACCCGUCUGGCAGGUUAAUUCCUGCCCUAUGAGUGGAAUUUUUGUCCAAGUGUUCAUGAAACUUGUUGGUGGAAAACAUGCCCCAGCAUCACCUACAGAAAUUCAACACACAAAAUUCACCCCAGGGAUAUUUUCAAAUCUUAUUUUUUUCCCACAGGCUAACACGGACUGAUGGCAAAAGGCUUUAUACAAGUACUUAAAGAGAAUGAGAGUACCCGAAGUCAUGGUGACAGAAGAGGCUGCAGAUGCCGGAAAUCUGGAACAACACCCAAAAGGAGCCGGAGGAACUCAGUGGUAUCUAUGGAGGAAGACAGAUGGUUUACAUUUCAGGUUAAGACCCUUCAUCUCAACUGGAAAGAGAGGCAGAGAGCAUGGAUCAAAAGAUGAAGGGAAGUGGUGCAGCAAGAGCUGCCAGAUGUUACGUGGAUCGAGGUAAUGGAGAACAGGCAGCUGCAGAGGGAGGAAUGAUGUAAGAACAUAGGAGAUGAUAAUUAUGAGUGACUUGUGGCUGAAGGAGAUGGAAUCUGAUGGAGGAGGACAACGAACCAAGGAAGAAAGUGAAGGUGACGGGGAGCGAAAUCAGUGGGAGGAAUGUAUGGGUGAUGAGCAGAUGGAGAGCGUGGGGAGGGGAAAGAUAUUGACGGAUUGGGGCCAGUAGGAUCAGGAGGAAGAAUAAUAAAAGGAGAGGAAGGGAUAGAGGAGAGUGAUUAUAGGAAGUUAGAGAAUUCAAUGUUCAGGCCUUGAAUCAGCAGAUGACAGAUAUUUUGGUACAGGAACAGAAAAUGGAAUUAAAACAGCUGGUCAUUAUGAGAUCCCGACUGGUGCUGGUGAUGGAGAGAAAGUUCUUCAUGAGAUUGUAAGGAGUUGUGAACACAGAUCUGUCCAUCAGGUAAACCAGCCUCCUCUCCAUUGACUCCAUCUAUACUUCAAGUUUCAUAUAUUUUAAAAACUCAUAAGGCAAACAUAAUAAACUACUGUUAAAUAACUGUCUUAAGCUAAAAUGGAAUUUAAUUUUUCUAAAGGUAGGCUUGGCAGAUUUAAUUUAAAUAAAGGUUAUAAAUUGAUGUUAAUUAAUGCUAUUCACAACAUGAAAAUUUAUUUGCAUUGUUGAAACUGUGUGUUGCGACAAUGUCAGGAUUUUCUUUUAUUACAAGAGAAACAAAACCUGUCAUGGAGCCAACUAUUGACGGGACACCAUCAGUACAGAUGCCAACACAGUCCCUCUAAGACAGACAUUUGUUUCCAGACAUGAAGACCAAAUAUUAAAUAUGUCUUGGCCUUUGCAUAUUUUGGGAAGCCCUUUGCAAUAGAAAACAUCUUCUUGAAUUUCACCAUCAUUUACAAGUCUUAGGAAUGUGACAACAUGACAUUUAUUGGUGAAAUCUAUUGACUCGUCAACCUGGUUAGAGAAGCUGUAGUUUUUCAGUUUAUCACACAAUACGUCUUCAGCAUCUUCUGACAGGUCAUCAAUACAUUGACUUAUUGUACUGUUCAAGAGUGAAACCUUUUCAAUUUCUUGUACUGCAUCUUGUUGUAUUUUACCCACUAUAAUUUUGCAUUCUGGUAUUAUUAGGUUCUCACCAACCGUGUGACUUUUCCUUUUCUUAGUAAUAAGUUCUGCUAUUAAAUAAAUGGCUCCUGGACCCUUUUACUGACAGUGACUUUAUUAAUGAAAGCCUUACUCUGUUUGUUUUGUGAUUCCAAUAGCCGUUUAAAAUAAUCAGCACUUUUAUAGGUCAUAUGGUUGUGAUUUGUAGUUAAGUGUCUUUUCAGUUUUGCUGGAGCCAUUGUUACAAUUGUAAAUUGUUUGCCACAGACUAGACACAAUGGAAUUGGACA